rnacentral:rRNA from 1 species
AGCAGCCGCGGUAAUUCCAGCUCCAAUAGCGUAUAUUAAAGUUGUUGCAGUUAAAAAGCUCGUAGUUGAAUUUCGGGGUCAGCAGGUUGGUCGUGCCAAUGGUAUGCACUGGCCUUGCUGAUUCCUCCCUCUUGAUGAGCCGUAAUGCCAUUAAUUUGGUGUUGCGGGGAAUCAGGACUGUUACUUUGAAAAAUUAGAGUGUUUAAAGCAGGCAAGCGCUUGAAUACAUUAGCAUGGAAUAAUGAAAUAGGACGUUUGAUCCUAUUUUGUUGGUUUCUAGGAUUGACGUAAUGAUUAAUAGGGAUAGUUGGGGGCAUUAGUAUUCAAUUGUCAGAGGUGAAAUUCUUGGAUUUAUUGAAGACUAACUACUGCGAAAGCAUUUGCCAAGGAUGUUUUCAUUAAUCAAGAACGAAAGUUAGGGGAUCGAAGACGAUCAGAUACCGUCGUAGU